AACGAACACUGUCGGCGCGUCUUAAGCAUGCAAGUCGAACGGCAAGAUUGGUGCUUGCACCGAUCCUAGAGUGGCGGACUGGUGAGUAACGCGUGGGUGACGUACCCUAAGGAUGGGGAUAGCUGGUAGAAAUAUCAGAUAAUACCGAAUAUCCUUAUUGUUGUUAGAGGACAGUAAGGAAAGGAGCUUUGGCUUCGCCUAAGGAUCGGCCCGCGUACUAUUAGCUAGUUGGUGAGGUAACGGCUCACCAAGGCGACGAUAGUUAUCCGGCCUAAGAGGGUGAACGGACACAUUGGGACUGAGAUACGGCCCAGACUCCUACGGGAGGCAGCAGCUAAGAAUAUUCCGCAAUGGAGGAAACUCUGACGGAGCGACGCCGCGUGGAUGAUGAAGGCCGGAAGGUUGUAAAAUCCUUUUAAGCAAGAAGAAUAAACUUUACAGGGAAUGGUAGAGUGGUGACGGUAUUGCUUGAAUAAGCAACGGCUAAUUACGUGCCAGCCGCCGCAGUAACAC
rnacentral:rRNA from 1 species